UUGAAGAGUUUGAUCAUGGCUCAGAUUGAACGCUGGCGGCAGGCCUAACACAUGCAAGUCGAGCGGUAGCACAGAGAGCUUGCUCUCGGGUGACGAGCGGCGGACGGGUGAGUAAUGUCUGGGAAACUGCCUGAUGGAGGGGGAUAACUACUGGAAACGGUAGCUAAUACCGCAUAAUGUCGCAAGACCAAAGUGGGGGACCUUCGGGCCUCAUGCCAUCAGAUGUGCCCAGAUGGGAUUAGCUAGUAGGUGGGGUAACGGCUCACCUAGGCGACGAUCCCUAGCUGGUCUGAGAGGAUGACCAGCCACACUGGAACUGAGACACGGUCCAGACUCCUACGGGAGGCAGCAGUGGGGAAUAUUGCACAAUGGGCGCAAGCCUGAUGCAGCCAUGCCGCGUGUGUGAAGAAGGCCUUCGGGUUGUAAAGCACUUUCAGCGGGGAGGAAGGCGUUAAGGUUAAUAACCUUGGCGAUUGACGUUACCCGCAGAAGAAGCACCGGCUAACUCCGUGCCAGCAGCCGCGGUAAUACGGAGGGUGCAAGCGUUAAUCGGAAUUACUGGGCGUAAAGCGCACGCAGGCGGUCUGUCAAGUCGGAUGUGAAAUCCCCGGGCUCAACCUGGGAACUGCAUUCGAAACUGGCAGGCUAGAGUCUUGUAGAGGGGGGUAGAAUUCCAGGUGUAGCGGUGAAAUGCGUAGAGAUCUGGAGGAAUACCGGUGGCGAAGGCGGCCCCCUGGACAAAGACUGACGCUCAGGUGCGAAAGCGUGGGGAGCAAACAGGAUUAGAUACCCUGGUAGUCCACGCCGUAAACGAUGUCGAUUUGGAGGUUGUGCCCUUGAGGCGUGGCUUCCGGAGCUAACGCGUUAAAUCGACCGCCUGGGGAGUACGGCCGCAAGGUUAAAACUCAAAUGAAUUGACGGGGGCCCGCACAAGCGGUGGAGCAUGUGGUUUAAUUCGAUGCAACGCGAAGAACCUUACCUGGUCUUGACAUCCACAGAACUUAGCAGAGAUGCUUUGGUGCCUUCGGGAACUGUGAGACAGGUGCUGCAUGGCUGUCGUCAGCUCGUGUUGUGAAAUGUUGGGUUAAGUCCCGCAACGAGCGCAACCCUUAUCCUUUGUUGCCAGCGGUCCGGCCGGGAACUCAAAGGAGACUGCCAGUGAUAAACUGGAGGAAGGUGGGGAUGACGUCAAGUCAUCAUGGCCCUUACGACCAGGGCUACACACGUGCUACAAUGGCAUAUACAAAGAGAAGCGACCUCGCGAGAGCAAGCGGACCUCAUAAAGUAUGUCGUAGUCCGGAUUGGAGUCUGCAACUCGACUCCAUGAAGUCGGAAUCGCUAGUAAUCGUAGAUCAGAAUGCUACGGUGAAUACGUUCCCGGGCCUUGUACACACCGCCCGUCACACCAUGGGAGUGGGUUGCAAAAGAAGUAGGUAGCUUAACCUUCGGGAGGGCGCUUACCACUUUGUGAUUCAUGACUGGGGUGAAGUCGUAACAAGGUAACCGUAGGGGAACCUGCGGUUGGAUCACCUCCUU
rnacentral:rRNA from 1 species